UAACCCCGAGAAAUUGGGGCUAAUACCGCAUAAAGUGUUUGGGGUAAGGCCCGGACACCAAAGCCUUCGGGUGCUUGAGGAGGGGCUUGCGGCCUAUCAGGUAGUUGGUGAGGGUAACGGCCCACCAAGCCGAUGACGGGUAGCUGGUUUGAGAGGAUGAUCAGCCACAUUGGGACUGAGACACGGCCCAGACUCCUACGGGAGGCAGCAGCAGGGAAUAUUGCGCAAUGGGCGAAAGCCUGACGCAGCAACGCCGCGUGGGUGAAGAAGGCCUUCGGGUCGUAAAGCCCUUUUCUUGGGGAAGAAGCACUGACGGUACCCAGGGAAUAAGCCUCGGCUAAUCACGUGCCAGCAGCCGCGGUGAUACGUGAGAGGCGAGCGUUAUCCGGAUUUACUGGGCGUAAAGGGCGUGUAGGCGGUUGGGCAAGUCCUUUGUGAAAUCUCCUGGCUUAACCGGGAGGGGUCAAAGGAAACUACCUGACUUGAGGGUAGCAGGGGGAGAUGGAAUUCUCGGUGGAGCGGUGAAAUGCGUAGAUAUCGAGAGGAACACCAGUGGCGAAGGCGAUCUCCUGGGCUAUACCUGACGCUGAGGCGCGAAAGCGUGGGGAGCAAACAGGAUUAGAUACCCU
rnacentral:rRNA from 1 species